UUGUUUCCUUUUGUACAAAAUACAAUAAAUAAAUAUAUAAAUAAAAUGUGUUGAGAAAGAGAGAGACCUCAUCUUUUGUUGCUUGACGAAGCAGUGGAGUUCGGUGAUCUAUUGGGGUAAUCUCAAUAGAGUGUGACAUCCCUCUUUAAUUACUUUCUUCAACUGUAUAAUUCCUACAAGCAACAGAUAUCGGUUUAAAAUGGUAUGACACAAAAAUUAUUAUUAUUAAUCCAAUUCAUUGCAGAAUUUGAUUUGAAAAGAAAAGACAAAAAUUAAAAAAAAAAUGAAAUCUCGUAUUAUCUCUUCUUAUGAAAAGAAAACUAGAUGUCUUGUACGUUAUCCUGGUAGAAAUUCUAAUUCUUAGAUUGAACGAACUAAUUUGUUCUACAAAAUAUUUUUCAAAAGAAUAUCAGGAAGGAUACACUUUUUAAGUAAUUGAAAACACAAAAGCUUUAUUAUUCAUAUCUAUAAUCUAUAUACAUUGUUCAUUUUAUAUCAUCCUACACUAUUGGCAUUUUGAGGGAGUGGUAGACAUUUCUUUGAGGGAAUUACUAGCUAGUAGACAUUUCUUUUGGAUGAGUCUGGCUCUGAUAUCAUGUUUGAAAAAUGAAUACUGGGUCUAAUUCAACCCCAAAAGCUAGUUCAUGAGAUGAGAAUUCAAGACCAUUUAAGAAGACUAAGUUACGGAGUACAACAAAAGGAAAAACAAUACAGGCGCACUAAAUAUUAAGAAUGAUUUAUGCAGAAUAUGCCUAAGCAGCAUGAAAAAAGAGAAAUACUAGAGUCUUUGAGCAAACUGCUGAGAGACACUGUAAUAGUAUAACGGGAGAAUAGCUCGUAUUUAUAAUGUAAGAACAUCAGGGACAUUUAGGAUUGUGCUUCAAAAGUUAUAAUUUCAUUAACUAGUCUAUAUGAUGUAAUAAGAGUUGUAAGUGUUAUAUGAGUAAAGAAUUUUGAAUAAACCCUCCCUAGGAAUUGUGCUUCAAGAUUUCAUAUUCUCAAUUGAGUCUUGAUAUAUAGUUAGAGUGAUUUGUCUUUUGGUACAGCAGACUAUCUUUUGAUCUUGCUGAUUUGUAAAAAACUUCACUUAGUAAUUAAUAAAAUACCUGGUUAUCAAAAAAGAUAAGAAGACCAAGCUACCGCAUCCGACCCGAUUUGGGACAUUUAACUAUGAAACAAUUAAAAUUGCAAUAGUACACCUUGUGUUUAGCAUAAAAUGACAAAUAAAGGGAAGUCUUGUACAUUAAGCUCGUGCUAGAAUGACAUAACGACAAUGUAGAAGUUAAUUACCUCUUUGGUUUGACUAUUUAUAUUACUUGAGCUGAGUUUCUUCUAAUUAAGUUCUUCUCUGCUUGACUAUUCUGAAGGAUAUGAGAGGGGGGGAGCUGGAAAUAUAGUGGAAGAGGAAUGAAUUUUUAAUGGAAAAUACAAAAG
rnacentral:lncRNA from 1 species